rnacentral:lncRNA from 1 species
GUGACAUAUAGAAGCUAUAUUAGUAAAUAUAAAAGCUGUAAGUCAUAUACAAUGUGCCUUUAUUAGAUCUAAGAUAAACAUAUAUAUAUUUUUUUAGAGACAGGAUUGGUCUCUCUCUAUAUAUCUAUCUAUCUAUACAUCUAUCUAUAUCUAUAUGUAUUUCUUUUUUUUUGAGAGAGAGAGUCUUGCUCUGUCACCCAAACUGAAGUGCAGUGCAACCUCCGUCUCGUGGGUUCAAGGGAUACUCCCACCUCAACCUCCCCAGUUGCUCGUCACCACACCCGGCUAAUUUUUGUAUUUUUAGUAGCGAUGGGGUUUCACUAUGUUGGCCAGGCUAGUCUUGAUAUCCUGACCUUAAGUGAUCUGCCCGCGUUGGCCUCCCAAAGUGCUAGGAUUACAGGCGUGAGCCACCGCGCCUGGCCUCUCCAUGUAUUUUUAGAGACAGGGUUUCGCUGUCACCCAAGCUACAGUAUGGUGGCACAAUCAUAACUCACUGUAACCCCGAACUCCUGGGCUCAAGUGUUCCUCCCACCUCAGCCUCCCAGAGUGCUGGGAUUACAGGCAUGAGCCACUGUGCCUGUCUUUUUUAUAAGAUCUUCUGUAAGUACAUGCCUAAACUUACAUGUCAAUGUGCCAAGUUACAGUACUUGGUACAGAACAGUACUAACCUCCUCUUUCCAUUCUAAGGUGACUGAGACAGUCUGCCCAGACCUAACCACGUACUUAUGGAAUAGCUACUACUAGAGUGAGGCUGGCCUACUGCUGAUCCUGAUGACAAAGAUAGACCCAGCAGAGAUCUUGCAAAAAAAAGGUAUCUAAACACAAAGAACAGUAAUUUGUGAUUUAAAAGUGAUUAAGACAGGUUCGCUGGCUCACGCCAGUAAUCCCAGCACUUAGGGAGGCCAAAGCAGGUGGAUCACUUGAGAUCAGGAGUUCGGGACCAGCCUGACCAACAUGGAGAAACCCCGUCUCUUCUAAAAAUACAAAAUUAGCCUGGCGUGGUGGUGCAUGCCUGUAAUCCCAGCUACUUGGGAGGCUGAGGCAGGAAAAUCGCUUGAAUCAGGGAGGCGCAGGUUGAGGUGAGCUGAGAUCGCGCCACUGCACUCCAGCCUGGGCGACAAGAGGGAAACUCUGUCUCAAAAAAAAAAAAAAGUGAUUAAAAAAAAAAAGGGAACUAAGUGCUUUGUGCUUUGGGAGGCUCAGAGUAGAAGGAGAUACCUAGCUUGGGGAAUGGAAAACCAUGAAAGGCUUUGUAGGAUAGGUAAGAGUUACGAAAAAGGGAUCAGAGGUGGGACAAUGGGAUAGAUGCAGCUUCAGGAAGAUGAAACUGCUUGGACAAAGGCAUGAAGACAGGAAAGCAUGGGAUAUGUACCGGUGAAAUAGACCAAGACCAAGUGAUAAGCCCAGGUCACAAAGCCAUCAACGAAUGAUAAAAUAAAGUCUUAAAACCUAGAUUUCUUCACCAGGACCAGAGGACCUCUUUUUUUUUUUUUUUGAGACGGAGUCUUGCUCUGUCACCCAGGCUGGAGUGCAGUGUGCAGUGGUGCAAUCUCGGCUUUCUGCA